rnacentral:miRNA from 1 species
GGGUGAGGAAGCAGAGCUCUCGGGACCGAAGGCCAGGCUUCUUGAGCUGUGUUGGUUGUCAUGGCUACGGUUUCAUGAACCACAAGCAGCUCAACAGACUGGUCUGUUGCCUUCUGAAACCCUUUGCACUUCC